UCAAGAUUGUUAGUUUUAUCAAAGUCUAGCCAGAUAUUCCCAUUCCAAGUUUCAGAAUCCCACUCUCUCCCAGUCAAUGCCCUCAACUUUAACAUAAGAAAUGUGGCAACACUCUGAAUUUAGCAAUUGUAAUUCAACAACCCACAUAAUUAAAUUUUUCAUCUGAUUUCAGCAAUAUCAGCCUUGUGGUUACAAGAAAUAAUUCUUGUAGGGCUGUAACAGAAGCUCUCUGACAUUCUGUAGUCAGACCAUGACUUGAGCUGAGAGUUAAAGGACCUGAGCUUGACAUUUUCUCUCUGUAAAUGCUCUAGUGUACUCAGGGCAACCCACCCCACAUCACGGUCCUUGUAGUCAUCAUUACCGACACAACAGUCAAGUCCAGCAGUUGCUCAGGAUUCCGAAGCAAUUGACAUUGCAUCACAAUUAACUACAGGUGAUAGCCUGAUGAAUUGUGAUUCCACUGCAUGCCACAGGUUACCAGUAUCCCAUUGAUUACUAGCAUCUCAUUUCCCAUCAGUAAGCAGCUGAGCACUACGCUUAAGCCCAAAUACCAAAAUACCAUAGGGGGGGUGAGUGUAGUGGGUGUGUGUCAGGGAGGGAUCUAUCUUCUGGGACCACUCCUGGUACCAAUUCCUUAUCAGUCAGGGUCCUAGUAGGAGACAGAAACUACAUAGGAAUUUCAUCAGGGAAGGUUAAUGUAAAGAACUAUUUACAGAGAGAAUAUACUAAUGGAUAAGGAAUACCCUGAAGCUGAGGAAGAGUAGCCAAGGAAGGAACAAACUUGGAAGAGCAGCCCCUUCCCCAGGCUGGAGUUCACAUCUCCUUCCUGAGGACCAGGCUGCAGCCCACAGGAUGGAGAAGCGCCCUAGGUGCAGGGGCCAGAGCUGGCCCAAAGUGGGUGAGCCGACAGUGCUGAGCAGAAAGCCUCCCGCGGGGUGCCACAGGCAGAGCAAUGGGCUGAGGACUGGCAAUAAAACUUGCUAGAGGCUUUUGUUUCCAAGUGCCUAUUAGUGACUGUGUACAUGAGGCACGACAGAGCUAAGCGAUACUUGAGAGACAACGGGUCCACUGAGAACGAAAUGCAGUUGGAGGCCGUGCAGUUCAAGUCCCGAGCAGCAUUCCCAUGCACAGCCCUCCCUGGGGAAUGCGGCCAGUCCCCGCAGACUCGGCUCCCCUCUCCAGGAAGGAGACAUCAAAGACAAUGAGGACCGAGGAGCUGGAAGUCUGGAAUCAAAGCCUGGUUGCUGCUCCAUCACCGUGUAACCUUUGACCAGCCACCUAACUGCUCUGAGCACACUUCCUCAUCUGGAAAGAGGAAGAGCCGUCUCGGGGUGGCUGCAAAGAAUAAACACUUGAGAGCACGUAGCACAGGCUGGCAUAAUAGGUGCUGAGUAUGUGACAUCAUCUUACCAAUCGUCCUAUAUCAUGAACCUCUGAUCCUGGCCUUGCAAAUGUGAACGAGAUAGGCCGUGGUAAAUGCAGACUCGCAAAGGGCCUCAACUACCAACAUGGUGAGACAGCAGCGUAUGAAAAGUCACAACUGGAUGGGUGUAGACGGUCUGAAAGCAGAAUGGGUCUUUUUUUGUAGUUUUUCUUAAAGAUUUUAUUUUUCCUUUUUCUCCCAAAGCCCCCCAGUACAUAGUUGUGUAUUUUUA